rnacentral:rRNA from 1 species
UACAGAGGUCCCAAGCGUUUCGGAUUCACUGGGCGUAAAGGGUGCGUAGGUGGUAAGGCAAGUCAGGUGUGAAAUCUCCGGGCUCAACCCGGAAAUGGCAUUCGAAACUACCUUGCUAGAGGGUUUGAGGGGGGACUGGAAUACUUGGUGUAGCAGUGAAAUGCGUAGAUAUCAAGUGGAACACCAGUGGCGAAGGCGAGUCCCUGGAAAACUCCUGACACUGAGGCACGAAAGCUAGGGGAGCAAACAGG